AAUGUGUGUGUGUGUGUGUGUGUGUGUGUGUGCACGCGCGCGCGCACACACACACACACCUUCC